ensembl:snRNA U1 U1 spliceosomal RNA
ACACUUACCUGGCAGGGUAGAUACGGUGAUCAUGAGGCUUGUUUUCCCGGAGGUAGGCUUAUCCAUUGCACUCUGUAUAUGCUGAUCCCUACAUUUUGCCCAAAUGUGGGAAACUCAACUGCAUAAUUUGUGGUAGUAGGGGACUGAGUUCGUGCUUUCNNNNN